CUCCCUCACUCACUCACUCUAUUUCCCUCUCCCUUCUCUGUUGUGUCGCACUUUUCUUUCUACUCUUAUAAGCCGUGUUGCAUUCUCAUUCCCAUUUCUCUUCCUUCCAAAUGUGGGUGUCUGUCUACCUCUCAACCUGACGCAUUGAUGUACAGCUCGCAUGGAAAGUUCCUGAGGAAGAUGUUUAUUUACUUUCUCGUCUCUGCCGGACACUGAGACCAUUUGCACAUCAUUCUGUAUCUAGGUCCUCACACAGCCCAUGCAAAUGUAGUGGGGGUAGAGGCGUCUCUUUUGGCUCUCCUCUCUGAAGUGAAGCAGAAAAAAGUCAGACAGGUUUGGAAUGACACGAGGGUUUGGACUCUGUGCAGCGACUACAUUGCAUGUUGUCCACGAACUUUAGCCAUGGCAUCACGUACACCGCUGUCGCUUGUGAAAACAACAAUGGCGGAGCAAGCCCCUGGACCCUGCAUGGACACCCCUGUCUCCGGAUAGAAAUCUUUGAUGAAGGCUGAAAAAGAUCUGGCUGAACAUACGCACACCAAACACAUGUUCAGAGAGCUCAUCUGUUUCUCUACCACCCUGCUAACCCCCGCGGACAUUACUGGGCUUUCUAUACUCCCCACCCAAGGGGCAGGUGGAACACACACACUAAGCAAACACCUCCUACCGAGUGGCAUUGAAUAGGACAGCUGCCCAUGAGAUUAGGGCCAACUGCUUUGGUGUGAGAACCGUGAUGGGGAGCUCACUGCGUACUGUGUGGUUUGUGUGGCCCUGUUCUCGAGAACAGGCCCGGAUGAUGAAGACCAUGAGAUCCUAGAAGAGAUGAUCGGAACAAUGAUCUCAAAGCUUUUAUUUGAUGUGUCAGGGAUCAUCUCUGGACAUUCUCCAAACCAUUUCUGGACUAUUUUCAGUUCCACUGGAAAAUAAAGACAAGCAUUGAGAACGUCUUUGUGAUCAUUACCUUCAGUGUGAACAUAGUGGAGCAGAUGGUGGCCCCUUAUUGGGUGAGUAAUUCAAGACAUUGACUUAUAUCUGGGGACCCAUGAGCAAAUGGAAAGGCAAAACAUUGUCUGUGUGUCAGUGUGUGUAUGCGAGUGUGUGUGUGUGUGGUUAUGGUGUGUCAGAGGGCGGGUGGACGUAUAGCGGAAAAUGAAAGAGUUAAAUGAAAGUAAGGAGAGAAAGUAACAGACAAAUGUGCCUUUGAGCUUUUUUUGUUCUGUGUUCAGGUCUCUGACUGGGAAAACCCUUCACAUGAGGUGUCUACCUACAGUUCCACAAAACAUUCAUUUCACAGUUUAACUGUGGAAAUAUGCUUAAAAAUACUGCCAUUCCUACUGCAGAUUACAGGCCACACAAAUUCUGACUUUAUUUUAAAAUUCCAUCCAUUUGGUUUGCAUAUGUCAAUGGCCUUAAUAGACGGCAACUGUUAGUAGGCCCGUAUGGUUUAUUGACUUAUAUUGGCGGUGUCACACACAUAUACUAUGCUUGGUCUCCAGCUCAAUCAUACUGUCCCUCAAACUUAAAUUCUUUAAAGUAUAUAGAGGCCACUAGCUGGGUGGCAGUGUCCAUGAGGGGGCCGCUUGAACGGUUACAAUUAAAUACAGCACAUACUGUAACUUUGUGAACAUGCAUACGUAAAAACUUGUAUGAGUUUCUUUCUUCUGCAGAACACAAAAGAAGAUAUUUUGAGGAAGGUUGGUAACCAAACAACAUCAGCCCCCAUUGACUUCCAUUGUGGGCAAAACCACUUUUUUUUGCCCAUAGAAAAAAGAGAGACAUUUUUCCACAGAGACAUUUUUCUGAAUAUCUUCUUUUGUGUUACACAGAAGAAAGAAAGUCAUACAGGUAUUGAAUGACAUAGGGUGAAAAAAAAUAUUUUACAGAAUUUGUUUAGGUGAACUAUCCCUUUGAGGACUAGAAACACCUGAGCGGCCUUAUGAAAAUAUCUCACCUGCCGAAUGUAUAGUUUGACACUUCUGCUUUAGUCCAUAUUUAAGUUGCGUCUUUUUUUGUCUAUAUGAACAAUAUGUAUCCCAUGUUGUUCUUGAGUUAUUUGUAUGUUUAUUUCGGAGAUGGAUUUUUGGGUUGGCUUUUGAUGACUGUGCUGGAUGGUGAUUUGGUUCAGUUGGCUAAUGGCUGUAGAUCUGUCGUCGUCUCUCUGUCAUUGCACUGUGGCGUGUGCCUUCUAAUCUGAAGAUGACGCCUACCCAGAGUGUUUCAUAUGCACCACCACUUCACAUAAAGAUCCCAUAAUGGCAACGAUGACUGUUUGGAAUAUUGUGAGUGGGUGUGUGUGAGAAAGAGGGAGCGAUGCAGAAACAAAGAUAGAGAGAUGAAGACAGAAUGCAACAGGGAGACAAUCUGGGUUCUUAUUUGACCCUUCGCAAAGCCCGCCCUCUUUUGCUAUGUCCAACACCAGCCAAAGCGCUCCCACUGCACUAAAGAAUAUUUAUCGUGAAAUCAUAUUUUUGGGGGGGAAUUACGUGUACUUUCAGCCAAAAGCAAUAAGAAAGUCUGCAAUAUGCAUUUGAAUGAUAUAUUCAGGAUGUGAAAGUGACUCGGAAUAAAGUUAACAAAAUUAAGAUCAACGCUCUAGCCUAACUUACUGUGCAUGCUGUAACGACAUAACAUCUGGAUAGCGGCAUUUGACAUGUUUAGGCAAUCGGUGAAACUGUGAUUAUGACCAUAAAGAUCAAAUUUUACCGGUCAAGUCUUCUUGUACGAGUCUGUUUUAAGAAGUCUAUAUUGUUGUACAUUCUGACAACUAAGAUUCCACAGUGACAUGACUUUUAACUGGGAUCAUGUUCGUACAGUGUGACAGCCAGCAACAAUCGCGAAACCCACAUAAUGCGCAGCCGGUUAAACUCUGGUAUGUUUGUCGGACAAAAUGGCGAAUAGCAUCAGGGGGCGCAUAAUAUCGGCAUUAUGAUUGGUCAGGUCAAGGGUCAAUUAUGAACAGACGUAGACACUUCCUGUCUGGAGCACCUAUGAUGACCCGGAAAACUAUUCGCGAACCAAAGUUACAUUUGGAAAUGUAUCAAUGUCAUUGCACUAGAAAAUUAAACCGAGAGCAUAGAUAGCAUAGAAGCAAAAUAUGUCAUGAAAAAGACUUAAAUUCUAAAAAAACACCUGUUGGAUAAAGUAAAAAAAGCUUUAAAAGCAACAUAAGUCUUAAAGGGACAGUUCACUCUAGAAAAUAAAAAUUCUGUUAUCAUUUACUCACCCUUGAGUUGUUCCAAAUCUGCAUACAUUUCUUUGUUCUGAUGAAGACAGAGAAAGAUAUUUGGAAGAAUGCUUGUAACCAAACAGUUCUUGUUAAGCAAUUUGUUAAGCAUUUUGUCCUACUGUGGUAGUCAAUGGUGGCCAAGAACUGUUGGGUUACAAGCAUUCUUCCAAAUAUCUUUCUCAUCGGAACAACGACAUUUAACAGAUUUGGAACAACUUGAGGGUGAGUAAAUGAAAACAGAAUUUUCAUUUUUGGGUGAACUGUCCCUUUAAGAAAACGUCCAGCAUCAUUUUUUGCUGAUACCAUGUAGUGCUUUCUUACUGUUGCAAUUACAAUUCAAACAUUUUUAGCCAAAACCAAGUGUCCUAAUACCUUAUGGCACAUCCUUACCUGCAAACCCUACUGUACUUACAGUACUGUACCAUAUGUUUUUGAUGGUGUAAGACUAAACUUCACAGGAAGUAGUAUACAGUAAAAACUGGGCUGUUGUGCUUUAAUGGACUAUUCAAUACCAUCUGCUAUAUGUUUUGGUAAAAAAACACACAUGCUGUAUUGCGUCCAACAUCGGACUGUGCUAAGGCUCUCAGAUGUAAUGUACUCUAUUAAGCACUUGUGCUGUGGCAAUGGGCAUUGGUGUUUAAAUGGGGUAAUAGGAUGCUAUAGGUGGGGUUCAACACUGCUGGCUUGUGAACACCUGUCUUCAGGGGCAGCCCCUCUGACAAUGCAGAAGAGUCAAUCACCCCGGCUAUGACUGCAAGACCACACUGAGAUUGCAUCAGCCCGUUCGGCAACAGCACGGUGUGCUCUUUUAAAAAUGCUGAUGAUAUAGGGAAUUUCUUACAAAUGUGUUUCCAAUGAAAAAACAACAACUUUAUUUUCCUUACUUUUUGUCCACAUGGUGUUUUGACCCAAAAUUAAGUAAUGGGAAUAUCAGCAGAUUCGUGUUAUUUAUGGACUUGUUUUUCUCCAGAUGUAGUGCAGAGAAAUAGAGACGUGUUCGUGGAACUGGUUGUGAUUUUAGAUGUGUGUUUACGCUGUUAUUACUGUUUAUCUCGAGAUGUCCUGCUGUGGUUUUACCAAGUACAAAUGUGGAUAUUAUGCAACUUAAAUCUAUCUUUGUGUAUGUGUGUGUGUGUUUACCAGUUUAACAAUCCUUAGGGGAUAUAUUUGUACCCAUAAGUGAGAUAAAUUUGACAACAUAUUUUUGAGAUGUCCUCAUUUGUGAAAGUGCUGGAUAAAUAAAGUAAAUGUUUUUAAUUUUGUCUUCUGUUAGUGUUAGGUUUGAGUAAUGAUAAUGAUAAUUUGCUGUGUAUAAAAAAUGUGUGUGUGUGUGUGUGUGUCAUACAGUGUUUUGUAUGUGUAAGAGAAAGUUUAGGUAAAAUUUGUGUGAGAUCCGAAACUAACAUGUGCUUGUUAAAAAAUUUUUUGUUAAACUUGUCAAAAAGUUGUUAUCACGUACACCUGUGUGUACAUGUAAAUGUUCAUAGAUAUGGAGAUAAAAAGCUAAACUAGUCUUUAGAAUGAUAAGAAAGGCUUUCGUUAAAAAGGAAAUAAAAUGAGGAGGGUGUUUCUGAGAAAUCGUCAUCACAAGAAAUCCACUCCGUUUUAGUUUUUAGAGAGUAAGUUGUUUUUUACUAUGUUACCCAGAGUUCUUCAGUCUACCCAUUAAAGGCCUUUAACCCACUCCCUCAUUUUUCUCACAGACACCAAACAUUUAUUUUACAGCUUCUUUUAGUAAUUCUUUUCGCAAGUAAAAUUGUUUUUCUUUGUCUUUCAUAAUCCUAAAUAUUUUUAGCAGAGGAUCCCAAACUAUACAUUGAGUCAUCUUACAUGUUUACAUUUUCUAGUUUUUACACCCAGCGCAUAAAUAAUACACAGAGAACGCUGACAUUUAUGCUACAUUUAUCCAAACAUCGUUUCAUCAAAGACAAAUAAAACAUUGUUAUUUCUGGAAUAUUCAUGUCAUCGUGGUACAAUUUCGACAGUAAUAAAUAUUUCGUUUUUAGUCAUAACCCAACGAAAGGCAUGCGAGUCUUUCUGUUCCUGGAUUGUGUGUUACAGUAUGCUUUAUGACACGAAUGUUAAUGUUUAUCCACUUUUACAACCUUCUGCUUAUGAAAUUUAUUGUCAUGCUUUGCUCCUGUUUUACCCCCUUUGAUUUAAUAGCUGUGUGGUCUUAUUACUCUGGUGUGAAAAUAGCUCUUAAUAAUGAAUGCACUUUAUUCAGGUGCUCAACAACUCUGCACACCUUUUUUUAGUGGAGUGGUUGUGUAGUUAUUUCAUUAUUGAGUAAAGUGAGUCCCAGCACAAUGUUCGACUCAUGGGCACAUUUAUAGCAUCAUUUCAGAAAUAAAAGGCAUGUGGUGAGAAGAACGUUGUGUAUUUUGAAAAGUUUAAUGAUGCGGGAAAUAUGUAGGGUGGACUUCAGUGUAUCUCUUAAUUUAUAUGACAGACAGAAAACUGUGCAUUGAUUUUCCGCGUAAAAAAUAUACAAAUGUAUGUUAAAAUAAUAUUAAAUUAUGCAUUUUAAAGACAUUGUAGACACAUUUUAAUAUCUGUUGCAUGUUUGUGUGCAGUACAUACAGUCGUAAGUUAUGUUUUUUAUUUCAUAAGAAGCCUUGCAUCUGAAUUUAAUAUGAUGUGUUCUUUUGUAUAAUUAAAACAAUUCUAUGUAGAUUAAGUUGCUAUAUUUAUCAUGACAUUACAUAUUUUGAAACAUUUUGCAUGUUUGGAAAGAAAUAUUUAGACCGAAGGUCUGUAUAUGUGAAGUCUAAAAUGACUCGGUAGUAUUUUACGUUAGCUCGACUUCAUUACUGAUGCAAAUGUGGGGAACACUUUCAGUUCUCUUUCCCUCAGAAUGAAACUGUAUAAAUUCUUCAUUUCUUUUGUAGGGAAACUGUGGCUUCAUUCACACAUGUGACACAUGGCUAAACAUUAAAUGAUGGCUGAAUAUGUAACAAACUGGAUAUUGACCCUAAAAAUGGAGAGAAACAUUUGGACUUUAUAGCACAUGAUAAACAACAUGCAAGUCAUAGAUUAUGUAACCUAUUUAUCGUUUAUAAUAAAAUGAUAAAAAUGACAUAUAUUGUAAUACUAAUUAAGUGUAUUUAUUAUAACUAUAGUACCUUCCACAAAUGUGUUUCUUAACAAGGCUGUGUAUAUGUCAUUUUUUAUUUAUUUAGGGUUUAUUUGGUGCUUUUUAUUCAUUAAGUUAUUUGAUGAAGGUACAGUCAAUGCAAAGAUGCAGCAUUUAUGUCUGUGUUAUACACUGUUCAUAUGCACAUUCACUGUUCAAAUGACAAAAAAUACAUUCAAUACAAUCCAGUAUUGUACUAUUUUUAUUUUAUUUUACUAAACUUUAAUUUUACACAAGGACACAAUCUUAUGAAAAGACAUUACAGAAAAAAUGCCAAUAAAUAUUUAUAAGAAAAAGAUUUGAAGCAUCCUAUAUGUGUGACAUUGGACACAGACAGACAUUUUAAGUGUUUUUGUUUCCUCUGCCAAGAAUUUUAAAUAUACAUGUGGCUCAUGGUUUCUUUAGGUAUUGCAUUUCAUGACCAGGUCAAUGGUUUUAAAUGGAGUGACCCAGAAUAUUUUUUUUAAAUGAAGAGUAAACAUGCAGUUACAUGAUGGAUGCCGGUUUUCAAUGUGUGCUAUACAUUUAUGUUUAUUAAUAUAUGGAGCAUAACUUGAUUUAAAUGAGAUAAGGCAGUCCUCAAACUUUCAUUUUGGACAUUAAUGGGAAAAUCAAGGACAUGUCAUUAAAUCAUGCAACUUUGGAGAGCUGUAGAUACCUUUACAUGUAGUGUUCCGUAUGCGAUAUAUAAUUGUAGUAUGUAUAUAAUUGCAUUUAAGUAUAAACGUUUUCUAAUAAAUAGAUGCUAUGUGAUUUUAAAGUUAUAGUUGUGGGUGUGACUGGAAUGUGUCUUUUUGUGUACACGUAACUGUUUAUACUAAAAACAUAUUUGUCCAUAACUUUAUGAUAACUGCUUUUAUACAGAUGAUUUUAUGGUAUGGUUUUCUUGUUAUAGUGAAAAGGUGUUUUAUUACUGGCGUUGUGAAAACGUUACACAACUGUUCUUUUGAGGUGGGACUUUUACAGUGUUGAUGACAUUUUUUACAUUUUAGUGGAACCUUAUAUGCGCUAAAGAGUUAUUGUAUGCUUUGUGUGAUGUCAUCAUUUAGAUUGAGUUUUAUUCAGUGAACAGUGAAAAGUGGGGUGCUACAAGGGUCAAUUCAUAUUUCAUGUCUAAAACCGCACGGAAAACGCUUCUCAUGUCUACAUUUAAAAUAACGAAUAUGCGUGCGGAAAAGACGUGAAAUGUGAAUCAGGCUUAAGACUCCUUCAAUGCAAAGUACACCCAAAAAUUCACCCUCAUGUCAUUCAAUAUCUGUAUAUGACUCUUUCUUUUGUAAAUCAAAAAAGAUAUUUUGAGAAAUGUCUCAGUGGUUGUGUGUCUGUACAAUGGAAAUCAGUUGUGGCCGGUUACAAACAUUCUUAAAAAAAUGUCCUUUUGUGUUCUGCAGAAGAAAGAAAGUAAAUAAAACAUUUUUCAUUUUUGGCUGAACUUUUCCUUUAAUAUUUUACAAAGUAUGAGAAAACAAAACAUGGAAAACAGGCCAUUAACCAGAUUUUGGUUCACUCAGUGUGAAUUAUCAUCAUACUGUACAUUUUUUGACCUGACCAUUGUCCUGCUCCCCGAAAGGCUUUGAUUUCCUGCUAAAGCUGUUGCUUUGUCUCACACGGAGCGUGGCUUAUUGUUCUGUCUUACAUUAAAGCUAUUUAUUGUUGUUAUUUCCUGAUUUGUGUGCUAAUCGUCUGCAAGAUCUCAGAACUAAUGCCUUUGCCAUGGGCAGCCGUGCAUGCUUGUAGAUAUUUAACAGGUUCGUCUAUACAGUCCAGCUUUCAUGUGGUGUUGUGUUAAGAAGAAAGCUGAAAAAAGUGCGGUCCUAAUACGUGUCCGUGUAUUGUGUGUUGCGUAGAUAAAUCAUACUGAAACAGUCUGUGGUCACAACUCAGUUAACCCCUCCCAUUGAUGAUGUUACAUCAAUACCGUUGAUUGGUUAACACAGAGCAGUUGUUUUCAUUCAAAAACGACUUGGGUGCGUGGCUCAUUUUGCAUCUCUAUUCAAAUACGGAUUACUUUAAGAGAUCUGAGCAUAUGUUUCCUCUGUUGAAGAUCUGUAUUGAUAGUCAUGGGCUCGGUAUAUGAGCAUAGAGAACUAGCUUUGGGCUGUUUUAAGUGAAUGGCUAGCUGAGGAACAGUACAUGUGCCUUUUAUCCACACACCAGAAUACAUUUCCAUCUGACAGCAUUUCCUGCGGUUGAGCAGUGAAUGGUCACAUUAUCAGAACAAUGCAUAUGCAGAUGAGCUGUUUUUUAUUAAGAACAGUAAGACACAAGACACAAUAGACGUUCUUUAAAAAAGUGAGAGGAAGAAGAAAUCAAAUCAAUCUGAAGCAUGGCCUAUUUAAGAUUUGUCCAUACCAAUGCUAAUACAUACAGUGCCAUUUCUGGCACGCUCAUUCACUGUUGUUCCGUGUAAUUAAGCUAAAAAUGGUGAUCAUAAAUGAUGAAUUAUUUUGCUGUCGGUUUCUUGGCAUGGAGGACAAAGUCACCUGUUAAACGGGCAUGAUUAGACAAAGACUGCAUUGAGUUGAUGGUGUCAUUUCCAGCUCAGAUGCUCAGGGUCUCCGUGGAUGGUGGCUGUGUGCUGAUCGAAGCUUGUCUUACUAAUACUGACUGUAAUAAUGUAAUCAGCCCUUUAUUCCUGGUAUCAGUAUUUGUGGGAAGACACUGGCACAGUCACAAGGUGACUAAUACACACUUUGCUAGUCUUUUUUUUAAGUUACACAGAAUGGCAGAAGGAAUAAAGAAACACAUUUUUAAAGGGACAGUUCUCCUAAAAAUGUAAAUUCCAUUUUUCUAUACAAUGUGAAUAGUGAUCAGGUGGUUACCAAAAUUUGCCAUAAACAUUCGGAAUGUUCCAUGUGAAGUCAUUUCACACAGACGGCUUUAGAGUCCCCUGUUUACCAUUUGCAUUCAUUGUAUACCAAAGAACUUUCCUUUUGUGCUUUAAGGAAGAACCAAAACGAGACAGUUGUGGAAUAACAAAUGGGACUGGAAACAAAAUGAAACAAAACUAUUGUUUUAAAAAUGUACACAAGUCAUUUCCUCUGACCCAUUAACAUUCUCUGCACAUUAAGAGAGAAUGAGUAGGAUCGAUCAAUGGCUUGUUUCAUUAGAAGUGAGGUGACCGCUUGAUCUGUUACCGCUGUGUCCGUGACUUGCUCAAGGUCUUUUGUCAUACUUGUGUAGCUUUGCGAGUCAUUGCAGACCCAACCAGCCACGAAUCUGAGUCAUGGGCCUGUUUUACUGGCCUGUCACAGGUAGACGUGUUUAAACUGAACAGGGGGCCAUUGCAAGGAAUUUGGUUAAAGAAAGAAAACUGGGGGAUUUUUGGCUCCUUGUGACUGUGAACUGUUUUUGCACACAGAGGUGAGAAAUAAGCAUGGCAUGCACCUAAGUGUGGAGAGAAAUGAUGACAUUUGCAUUGGAGUGUACAGGUGUUUUAACUGCGAGCUGGAGUUAACAGUGUGUCCUGAAUAGUUUGAGAGAAAACAGAACUCAAGCUACUUCACAGUAUGUUUUGUACAUCAUGGAGAAAGUCAACGGCAUUGAGCUGUAGACAAGUUGUUUUGAAAUCAUUCUUGUGUGUGUGUUAUAAAUUGCAUUUGAGUUUCUAGUUAGGGCAGGGGUGUUGUAAAGCUUUUUCACACGUUAGUGCAUUUAAAUUAGAAACCCAUUUCAUCAUAUAUGUGUAAGACAGGGUUUACAACCUGAGAAGUUUACAUUUGUGUGUUUCUCUACCUGGAAAAAUCUUAGAUCUUACAAAACCUUGGUAAUUUCUGUAGUGAAUAUUCGUUGUCUAAUAGCUAUAACCAUUGUGUAUCUUCAAACUGGCUUGCAAUAGUCUGAAUUAUAAGUGAGUCAGUUGUUGUCAUUAAAUCUGUCAAAAAGAUUCAGAAACAGCUUGAAUAGCUCAUAUAGUGAAUUUGAAUCAUUUUGACAUAUUCACUAUUAAGGUCAUAGAUUAGUCAAGAAAAUGUGUUUGUAAAAACUGUCUGAACCUUGGUGUUGACUACUUUCAUUUGUUGCUGUAGUGUGCCAGUAUCUUGAGUUUGGCAUUGAGGGAAUGCAUAUUACAAAAACUCCCCUUAAAGGUACGGUUCACCCAAAAAUGACCUGCAUACAUUUUGAUUGUUCCACUGAACAUAAAAGAAGAUAUUUGUAAGAAUGUUUGUAACCGUGCAGUUCUGGGGCACUAUUGACUACCAUAGCAGGAAACAACACUACUAUGGUAGUAAAUGGUGCCCCAGAGCAUUUUGGUUUCCUACAUGAUUCUAAAUAUCUUAUUUUGUGUUAAUCAGAACAAAGACAUUUAUACAGAUGUGAAACAACAUGAGGGUGAGUAAAUGAUGACAGAAUGUUCAUUAUUCGUUUCUGACAUCUGUCUCACCAGUUUAACCCUCAAAACGUUUGCAACAAGUGAUAAAUAAAUUGAAACGAAUGAAUAAAAAACAAUAACCAUCAUCAGAGCUUUUCUCUCGCAACGUCAAUGGUGAGAAUGAAUAUCAUAAUUCAUAAAGUAUAAAUAAUCCAUGCACCUUUGAGGAUUAAUCUAUAGUCAAUAAUAUUGUAUUGAUCCGCUUUGAUUGCUGUGUGUCUUUUGGGUAGUGAAGUCUUUAGGUCAGGGUUAGUUGGUUAAACAGCAUCCUGCCCAAGGUAAGCACGGUUUACCCGCAGACCUGCAAUUCACCGGAUAACUCACCUACAGCUGCUUCACUGUAUGACUGUACACACUGCACCGUUCCUGUGCGGUUUCUAGCUCCGUAGGUGUGUGAAAGUGUUUGUCGUGCAUGCCUGGAUGUUGUCUAAUAAAAUGACAUGCGAUUGUGUGAGCUGGUGAGAAUGAAUAUUAUGUCUUAACUUCAAAAACAAUCUGUAGAAUUGUACUGUAGAACUGUAGAACAACGCUGUAGAAUGUCAAUAAUGACAUUUGUAUUUACGAUUGAAUCAUUUAUUCUUCGAAUCGUUUUAAAAAGUGGAAGGUGUUCUCAACGCAAGAAUCUUGAUGCUUGUGUUGUGAUGAUAUAUGUACGCGAAUACAUCUGUCGCUGCAGAAUGUGUGAGCAUUUCCGUUUCAAAACUCUUGUUUUUAAUCAUCGCUCAAUGUCUCAUGAAAUAGCAGUCCGAUUGCACGGAACUAUAUCUGCGCGCUGCGUGGCCGCAAGUGCGUCAAUAUUGGAUGCCGCUUUGACGUUUAAAUAUCCUGUUUACUUGUUUGCACACUUUCCCUGAUCAGGAAAUCGAUCUUGAUUGGUCAGGUUGCUAAAACAAUACCAUCUGUGGCCUCUUUUGACAUUUGCCCUGCGGUGGCUCAGAUUAUAUUUACAGUUAUAUAAACUAGCCAGGGUUUUAGGGACCGUGUUAAAAGUGCCAACGUUUUACGAUUAAGAGGAAGGGGAAGGGCAUUUCAGGGUAGAUUGUGGCAAAACCAGCUAGACACCCCAGCUUUCCUUCUUCCGCUGGCCUGGCCAAAAGCAGCUCUGCCUGGCCUUGCCCACACAGUCAUCCCGGGCAUGUUUGGUCCUUCAGUGAUUCAACAGGCCGUCCACCCAUAGUCAGAGAUGUGGUGUGUGCGUUCCCGCGUAAUCAAAGCUUGCUUUGAGGAUGUCUGGCGGCUCUCUCGUGCCUAAGCUUGUUGCGUGAGCACACAAAAAGCGUUGUUUACGUCAGUCACUUUUUCAUGUGUUUACGGAUGUGUAAUACUUAGUGGACUACCUACAAAGGCAGCAUUUUAAGACACAGUUCCAUAAAAUGUCAAAUGUAUUAUUUUAUGCGGUAUUCACCCCAAAAUGUAAAUUCGGUUAUCAUUUACAUCAUUUCAAACCUGCCGAACACAAAAGAAGAUAUUUUGAAGAGAGUUGGUAACCGAACAGCGGCGGUUGACUUGCUUUGGUUUUAUUGUCAGCAAUUUGAUGUUUCUGUGAAGUGCACUAUUUCCAAAUAAUACACUACCUUUUUUGGGCUGAUUUUGGGCUUGGAUCUCGAUUCCCUUUAUUUUGGCCUUUGCUCUUCUUUUCACAGCUUGAGAAUUUGCAAGGAUGCGAAUAUCAGGGCACAUUAGUAAACACUUCAAUAUUUAUUUUCAGUGGGAUUUGUGAGUUUGCCUGCCAACCUGCUUUAUGAAUGUGUAUGUUUGUGCGUCGA